UACGUAGGUGGCAAGCGUUAUUCGGAUUCACUGGGCGUAAAGGGUGCGCAGGCGGCCAAGUGUGUGAGGCGUGAAAGCCUGGGGCUUAACUCCAGAAUUGCACCUCAAACUACAUGGCUAGAGCAUUGGAGAGGGUAGCAGAAUUCACGGUGUAGCAGUGAAAUGCGUAGAUAUCGUGAGGAAUACCAGAGGCGAAGGCGGCUACCUGGACAAUUGCUGACGCUCAGGCACGAAAGCGUGGGGAGCAAAAGGG
rnacentral:rRNA from 1 species